UCCCGUUGAUCCUGCGGGAGAUUGCUGCUAUUGGGAUUCGAUUUAGCCAUGCAAGUCUAGGGGCUCCUCGGAGCACCGGCGAAAGGCUCAGUAACACGUCAUUAAUCUGCCCUUAGGUCGGGCAUAACCUCGGGAAACUGAGGCUAAUACCUGAUAGGGAAAAGAUACUGGAAUGUACUUUUCCUCAAAGAUUACGCCUAAGGAUGAGUUGGCGGCGGAUUAGGCUGUUGGUGGGGUAAUGGCCCACCAAACCAUAGAUCCGUACGGGCAUUGAGAGAUGUGGCCCGGAGAAGGGUGCUGAGACACUAACCCUAGCCCUACGGGGUGCAGCAGGCGCGAAACCUUUACAAUGCACGAAGGUGUGAUAAGGGGAUCCCAAGUGCUCAUGCAUUGCAUGGGCUUUUGCCAAGAGUAAAUAUCUUGGAGAAUAAGUGGUGGGUAAGACUGGUGCCAGCAGCCGCGGUAACACCAGCGCCACGAGUGGCAAUCGCUAUUAUUGGGUCUAAAGCGUCCGUAGCCGGUCUGACCAAUCUUUUGUGAAAUCGACAAUCUUAACUUGUCGGCGUGCAAGAGACACUAUCAGACUAGGGACCGGGAGGAGCAUGAGGUAUUCUAGGGUGAGCGGUAAAAUGCUGUAAUCCUUGGAGGACCACCUGUGGCGAAGGCGUCAUGCCAGAACGGAUCCGACGGUGGGGGACGAAAGCUAGGGGAGCAAAGCGGAUUAGAUACCCGAGUAGUCCUAGCUGUAAACACUGUGAGCUAGGUGUUGCGCAUUCUUAGUGAAUGCGCAGUAUCGAAGCGAAGGCGUUAAGCUCACCACCUGAAGUACGGUCGCAAGGCUGAAACUUAAAGGAAUUGGCGGGGGAGCACCACAAGGGGUGCGGCGUGCGGUUUAAUCUAAUUCAACACAGAGAAUCUCACCAGCAGCGACGGCAGAAUGAAGGUCAGGCUGAAGACCUUACCCAACAAGCCGAGAGGUGCUGCAUGGCCGCCGUCAGCUCGUGCUGUAAGGUGUCCUCUUAAGUGAGGUAACGAGCGAGACCUGCGUCCACAAUUGCUAACUGGCCCGUCUGGGUGACAGAGCACAAUGUGGAGACUGCCUUGGAAACAAGGAGGAAGGUACAGGCUACGGUAGGUCUGUAUGGCCCGAAUCUGCUGGGCUACACGCGCGCAACAAUGGUAGGGACAAUGGGCUGCAACUCCGAAAGGAGAAGCUAAACCUCUAAACCCUAUCUUAGUCCAAAUCGAGGAUUGUAACUCAUCCUCGUGCCGACGGAAUCCCUAGUAAUCGGGUAUCAUCAAUGCCCGGUGAAUAUGUCCCUGCUCCUUGCACACACCGCCCGUCAAACCACUCGAGCAGGUUCUAGGUGAGGCCUAGUUUCUUGAUUAGGUCGAAUCUAGGAUCAGUGAGAUGGGUUAAGUCGUCACAAGGUA
rnacentral:rRNA from 1 species